UACGAAGGUCCCGAGCGUUAUUCGGAAUCACUGGGCGUAAAGAGUACGUAGGCGGUUAGGUAAGUCAGGUGUGAAAUCUGGGGGCUCAACCCCCAAACUGCAUCCGAUACUGCCAGACUGGAGUAAUGGAGGGGCAGGUGGAAUUCUUGGUGUAGCAGUGAAAUGCGUGGAUAUCAAGAGGAAGACCAAUGGCGAAGGCA
rnacentral:rRNA from 1 species